rnacentral:lncRNA from 1 species
ACAGUUCUGGAGGCUGGGAAGUCCGAAAGUAAGGUGCCAGCAGGUUCUAUCUGGUGAGGGCCUUUUGCUGCAGUUUUCUCAUACGGCAGAAGGAGGAAGGACAAGCUAGCCAAAGGCUGCUGCCUGAAGCCUCUGGGCCUUAAUCCCAUUAAUGGAGGAGGAGCUCUCAUGGCCUAAUCAUCUCUUAAAGGCCCCACCUCUUAAUACUAUCACAUUGACAACACCUGAAUUUUGAAGGGGAGUAAUUCAAAUCAUAACCACUAUUAAUAUAUCUUAAUUCUGGGCCGGGCGCGGUGGCUCAAGCCUGUAAUCCCAGCACUUUGGGAGGCCGAGACGGGCGGAUCACGAGGUCAGGAGAUGGAGACCAUCCUGGCUAACCCGGUGAAACCCCGUCUCUACUAAAAAAUACAAAAAGCUAGCCGGGCGAGGUGGCGGGCGCCUGUAGUCCCAGCUACUCGGAAGGCUGAGGCAGGAGAAUGGCGUAAACCCGGGAGGCGGAGCUUGCACUGAGCUGAGAUCCGGCCACUGCACUCCAGUCCGGGCGACAGAGUGAGACUCCGUCUCAAAAAAAUAAAUUAAAAAAAAAAAAAAAAUAUAUAUAUAUAUAUAUAUAUAUAUAUAUAUAUAUAUCUUAAUUUUGUUCAAAUAAGGCAAAUACUGAGCUGUAACCAAUCUCACUGUUUCUCUACCUCACUUCCUGUUUCACCCAACCUUGUAAUCUGAGCACCCAGCAUCAUUCUUGGCAGUUAGUGGUUAUUUUAAAAGACUAAAUCUAAAGCAAUACUUUUUAAAACUGCCAGUACAUUCUUCUUUAUUUCUCUUACACACAUAGAAAAUAUCUAUUGCCUAUUAAUAUUUCUGCUUGAGCUCCGGAUUAGAAGCAGGGUAAUGGAAGAGGACAAUGUGACCUUCCUGGAAGUCCCACUCAAUGAGGUUUGAAUUCAUUUAAAUUUCAGGUAUGUGAGAAGGCUGGGAAAUUUAGUUUAUCAUCAAGGCAUUCUCCCUAGG